rnacentral:rRNA from 1 species
CCCGACUGCUAUUUGGGUGAGAAUAAGCCAUGCGAGUUGAAUGGGAUACCUAAAGUUCCCAUAGCAAACUGCUCAGUAACACAUGAUCAACUUACCCUAUAGAGAAAAAUAACCUCGGGAAACUGAGGAUAAUGUUUCAUAAUUGAAUUGGCUUGGAAAUGUUUUUCAAUGAAAAGGAUAAAAAAAUGGUUUUUAUCUGCUAUAGGAUAGGAUCGUGUUCGAUUAUGGUUGUUGGUGAGAUAAUGGCUCACCAAGCCGAUAAUCGAUAGGGGCCGUGAGAGCGGGAGCCCCGAGAUGGGUACUGAGACAACGACCCAGGCCUUACGAGGCGCAGCAGGCGCGGAACCUCCGCAAUACACGAAAGUGUGACGGGGUUACCCAAAGUGUUCAAUUUGAACUGUGGUAGGUGAGUAAUGUCCCCUACUAGAAAGGAGAGGGCAAGGCUGGUGCCAGCCGCCGCGGUAAAACCAGCUCUUCAAGUGGUCGGGAUAAUAUUGGGCUUAAAGUGUCCGUAGCCGGUUUAGUAAGUUCCUGGUAAAAUCGGGUAGCUUAACUAUCUGCAUGCUAGGAAUACUGCUAUACUAGAGGGCGGGAGAGGUCUGAGGUACUGCAGGGGUAGGGGUGAAAUCUUAUAAUCCUUGUAGGACCACCAGUGGCGAAGGCGUCAGACUGGAACGCGCCUGACGGUGAGGGACGAAAGCCAGGGGAGCGAACCGGAUUAGAUACCCGGGUAGUCCUGGCCGUAAACGAUGCAUACUAGGUGAUGGUACGGCCAUGAGCCGUAUCAGUGCCGUAGGGAAACCGUUAAGUGUGCCGCCUGGGAAGUACGGUCGCAAGGCUAAAACUUAAAGGAAUUGGCGGGGGAGCACCACAAGGGGUGAGGCCUGCGGUUCA